GACGAACGCUGGCGGCGUGCCUAAUACAUGCAAGUCGAACGCUGAAGAGAGGAGCUUGCUCUUCUUGGGUGAGUUGCGGACGGGUGAGUAACGCGUAGGUAACCUGCCUUGUAGCGGGGGAUAACUAUUGGAAACGAUAGCUAAUACCGCAUAACAAUGGGUGACACAUGUCAUUUAUUUGAAAGGGGCAAUUGCUCCACUACAAGAUGGACCUGCGUUGUAUUAGCUAGUAGGUGAGGUAAUGGCUCACCUAGGCGACGAUACAUAGCCGACCUGAGAGGGUGAUCGGCCACACUGGGACUGAGACACGGCCCAGACUCCUACGGGAGGCAGCAGUAGGGAAUCUUCGGCAAUGGGGGCAACCCUGACCGAGCAACGCCGCGUGAGUGAAGAAGGUUUUCGGAUCGUAAAGCUCUGUUGUAAGUCAAGAACGGGUGUGAGAGUGGAAAGUGCAGACUGGGACGGUAGCUUACCAGAAAGGGACGCCAACUUACGG
rnacentral:rRNA from 1 species